rnacentral:lncRNA from 10 species
AAUACAGUAGUCGCCUUAGUCACACUUUUGCUUUCUGCAGUUUCCGUUACCCACAGUCAAUCACAGUUCUAAGAUAUUGAAUAGAAAAUACCAGAAAUAAACAAUUUGUUAAGUUUUAAAUCUCACGCUGAUCUGAGUAGCAGGGUGAAAUCUCAUUCCUUCCAGCUCCAUCUUGCCCAGGAUGUGAAUCAUCCCUUUGUCCAGUGUAUCCACGCUGUAGAAGCUACUCGCCUGUUAGUCAUUGAUGUCCUUUGCUCCUUGACAUCCAGCCAUCAGCAUCAUCAUGGCUUGAUGAAUCAGGAUCGCCCAAAGCAGAUGAUCCUCCUUCUGACAUAUUGUCAGAGGGUCAAUAGUAUUAUUGACUUAACACAGGUUAAGUACUAUUUUUAUCAUAUUAUAUCGAGUACAUAAUAUCAAAAUGACUAAUCACUGUAGAUGAUAGUCAUCAUCCAGUUGAGGUAGUGUUCAUUAGGUUUCUCUACUGUGAAGUUACUGUCUUUUCCCCCUUUUUAAUACUGUACUCUUUCAAAGUAAGUCACUGUGUGCAGCUCACACUUAAAGAAUGGGUAAUUAUGUUUACUUCUUUGAGGAUGGAGUAUUUACAUAAAUUAUUGGGAAUUAUUCUAAUUGGGAGAUUAGUCUGUUCUUUUAUUUGUUUAUUUAAUCAUUUAUUUAUAUCAGUAUGGACUCAGAUUUUUUUUUUUUUUUGGUUAUAAGCCAAUAGUAUUUUACUUUGUUGUUCAAAUUGUUUUAUUGGGGAUGACAUUCCAUUUACUUUCCAGAUGGCCUGAUAUAAGAGAAAUGAGAAUAUGCAGGGGAAUGGGGAGUAUACUAGGCUGGCUGGAGUGGAGAGUUUUUAUAAGCAAGUGCUGAGAGAUAUGGUAGGAAAAGAUUGGGACUAUGUAUGGGGGUGUGUGGAGCUGACCUUGAAUAUCAGGCUACAUUCUAUAGGCUAUGGUGCCAAUUUUAUUUAAGAAACCAGGUUGAUAUGCCUGAUGUUUUGUAAUAUAUAUUAGAGAAAAUUUAUUCAAUGUGAGAUUGACCAUGCAGGGGUGGAGAAAUAGUAAUAAUUUGCCAUGCAGUUUGUUGACUCCACUAGGGGUCAGGGCUGGGGGCACCAAUUCCUUUUCUGUUUCUUUAUUGAUACAUACUACUCAUUCUCUUUAUUAUAUAGUGGGCAUAGGUAUUCAAGUAAAUUAUAGGAGUAUUUUAAAUACAUUGCAUGAAAUUAAGUCUGAAGUGGACUGUACAGACUCAUUUUCCUUCAUAAUAUUCCGUUCCUAUUAGAUUUCAAGCAAUGCUAGAAAGCCCUAGAGGAAGUAUAAAACUGGUAUAUGUAACCCAAUUGUCUCAGUGGAUGAUUGUAUGUGUAUAUAUAAUCUCAUUGUCUGAGGCUGGAAGAUUGAAGGAGAGUGAGAACAAUUUUGAAGACUUGGGCAGGAAAUUUAUUAAUAGGUUUUAGUCUUUAAACUGGCAUAAUAAAUAUUGUCCUGCUUACCUUUUCCUUCUAAAUUUGUUAUUUAUUAAUUUUCCCUCCUUAUACUCUGAACUUUGACAUUUUCAUAUAUAUGAAAUAUGUAUGUGUCCACAUAUAUAGCAUAUAUGUAUGUGUCGACACAUAUAACAUAUAUGUAUGUGUCCACACAUAUGACAUAUAUGUAUGUGUCCACACAUAUGACAUAUAUGUAUGUGUACACACAUAUAACAUAUGUGUGCGUGCACAUAUAACAUAUGUGUGUACACAUAUGUAAUAGAUGUGUGUGUAUGCAUGUAAUAUAGAUGUAUGUGUGUAUGUAUGUAAUAGAUGUAUGUGUGUAUGCAUGUAAUAGAUGUAUGUGUAUGCAUAUAUAAUAUGCAUGUGUGUAUGCAUAUAUAAUAUGUAUGUGUGUAUGCAUAUAUAAUAUGUAUGCAUGUAUGAAUCUCCCCUGCUUAUGAUUAAUCCUUUUCUGUCUGAGUUUGGGUUUAUCUAUUUAAUAAGAUAAUCAGUCUCUGAAAGGAUAAUUUAUGCAGAGGUGGUUUACCUUGCCCCAAACCUCCACUGAUUGACAAUCUUGAAGAGGGAACACUAAUCCUCACCUUGAAAAUUCUUUAGUAUUUUUAUGACCUGAUGUCCCCAUCUUUUUCUUAGCUCUGUAGCUAUCUUCAUUCAUCUAACCCUUAAUUAGAAUAUUUGUAUCGAUCAUCUGCAAGUGGUAGUUGUUCAGAUAAUAGGGAAUCAUUAUUUUCACUAAGAAGACCAAGUUUUAGAUUUUUGAUCUACUCUAUAAUUACUGCUUGUUAAGAUGUGUGUACUUAUAUGUUUUCCUCAAUACUAGUCAGAGGAGAAAAACAUUUUAACAAGGCUAGUCUUAUUUGUCAAAUACUUUAGAAGCAUGUUACUUUGGGGUUUUUAAAAAACCCAAACACCUCAUUCUGCCUAUAUUGUAUCUCAGAUAAGAAACAAAUAGCAUAGAAAGCAAGAGAGAGAAGUAAUGCCCCGGAGACUAACCAGAGUUACCAAAAGGACUUGGCUGCCAGAGUGAUAAGGAAAUAAAAAUGACUUCUGAGAGAAGAGAAAAGGAUUUUAGAAGAACAAGUGCAAUAGAUGAUUCUAACUUGAGAGGUGGUUGCCUCUUCCUGCCUUUGCUGGAAAAUGUCACAACGUUUUUGUUUUUUUCCAAAGACUGGUCUUGCUCUGUCACCCAGGCUGGAAUGAUCAUGGCUCGCUGCAACCGUGAACUCUUGGGAUCAAGCUACCCUCAGCCUUUUGAGUAGCUGGGACUACAGAUGCACACUGCCAUGCCAGGCUGAUUUUUUUAAGUUUCUGUAGAGACAGGGUCUCACUAUGUUGCUGAGGCUGGUUUCAAACUCCUGUUCUCAAGCUAUCCUUCUCCCUUGACUUCCCCGAGUGCUGGGAUUACAGGCACGAGCCACUGCACAGACCUUUCACAAGAUUUUAACAAAUGACUGUUGUUAAUAAGGACAAAAGACUUAAAGCCAGGUGUUCAAGACCAGUCUGUGCAACACAGUAAGACUUUGUCUGUACCAAAAGAAAAAAAAAUUAGCUGGGCAUGGUGGCAUGUGUCUAUAGUCCUAGCUACUCAGGAGGCUGAGGUGGGAGGAUCAUGUGAGCCCAGGAGUUCAGGGCUUCGGUGAGCCAUAAUUGCACCACUACAUUCCAGCCUAGGUAACAAAGCGAGACCCUGUCUAAAAAAAAAAAAAAAAAGGACAAGAGACUUUUUGGGGUUCAUAAUGGGGAGGGAAGAAGGAGAAAGUCAAGUCUAUCAAGCCCAGUGAUGAACAUAAAUUGUGUCAGGUCAGACCAAAGACUCCUUAAAGUAAAUCGUUUAUUAUUUACCUGUUUGUUGAUAUAGAUGCAUAUUUUAUGCCAUUUUUAUUUAAUAAUUGUGACUACUCUUUUUUUUACAGAUGGGGAAAAGGUGCUAUUUAACUUUCUACAGAUCGUUUAGUGGGAGAAUAGGGAACAGACAGACUAAUUCUUAAAUUUGUCUGCAAUGACUAGACUUUCCUUCAGAUGAUGGUUUCACCCUUUCCUUUCCUUUCCUUUCCUUUCCUUUCCUUUCCUUUCCUUUCCUUUCCUUUCCUUUCCUUUCCAUUGCUUUUUCUGUCUGUCUGUCUUAGGUGGGGUCUCACUCUGUCACACAGGUUGGAGUACAAUGGCACAAUCACAGUUUGCAGUCUCCACCUCAAAUGAUCCUUCCACCUUAGCCUCCCAAGUAGCUGGGACUACAGGCACACGCUACCACACC